GAUUUAUGAUGUGCUUUAUUUCACCAGGGAGAGAUGAGAUUUGGCAGAUUGUCCAUGGCUUGCAUGUGAGCGGUGGAGAUGAUAUCAUUUGCACUGCUCAUAACUUUUAUAAACUAGCUCUUGAUAAUGACUUUACUAAGGGACGUCGAACAAGUCACGUUGCAGCCGCUUGUCUUUACAUUGCCUGCCGGCGAGGUGAAAAACCUUAUCUUCUUAUUGAUUUCUCAGACCAUUUGCAAAUAAGUGUUUAUGUCCUAGGUGGUGUUUUUCUGCAGCUUUGCCAGGUUUUGUUACUCGGAGAACACCCAAUUGUUCAAAAGCUUGUAGAUCCUAGCCUUUUCAUUCAUCGUUUUACUGAACGUAAGUUGACGUACAUGUGCAUUCUUAUAUAAUAUACGCAAUGCUUCUAGCUA